GAUUUAACAGGGAGGUCGAUUUAACAGGGAGGUCGAUUUAACAGGGAGGUCGAUUUAACAGGGAGGUCGAUUUAACAGGGAGGGUGAUUUAACAGGGAGGGUUGAUUUAACAGAGAGGUCGAUUUAACAGGGAGGUCGAUUUAACAGGGAGGAUGAUUUAACAGGGAGGAUGAUUUAACAGGGAGGUCGAUUUAACAGGGAGGUCGAUUUAACAGGGAGGAUGAUUUAACAGGGAGGUCGAUUUAAUAGGGAGGUCGAUUUAACAGGGAGGUCGAUUUAACAGGGAGGUUGAUUUUACAGGGAGGUCGAUUUAACAGGGAGGUCGAUUUAACAGGGAGGUUGAUUUUACAGGGAGGUCGAUUUUUACGUUUUAUAUAUUCACAAACGUCUCUGUAUGCAAGUCUUUAUGUGCACAAGAAAUGUAAAAACAAACCAAACAUACACCUCAGCACAAAAUAAAGACUAAUGAAACAG
ensembl:lncRNA